GACAGAGGGGGCAAGCGUUGCUCGGAAUCACUGGGCGUAAAGGGCGCGUAGGCGGGAUGGCAAGUCAGUCGUGAAAUCUCUCGGCUCAACCGAGAAACGUCGGCUGAUACUGCCGUUCUUGAGGGAUGCAGAGGAGACUGGAAUUCCCGGUGUAGCGGUGAAAUGCGCAGAUAUCAGGAGGAACACCGGUGGCGAAGGCGGGUCUCUGGGCCGAUACUGACGCUGAGGAGCGAAAGCGUGGGGGAGCGAACAGG
rnacentral:rRNA from 1 species